UACGAACUGUGCAAACGUUAUUCGGAAUCACUGGGCUUAAAGGGUGCGUAGGCGGCUCGUCAAGUAGGGUGUGAAAGCCCCCGGCUUAACCGGGGAAUUGCGCCCUAAACUGACUGAGCUGGAGUGGGACAGGGGUGUGUGGAACUUCCGGUGGAGCGGUGAAAUGUGGUUAGAUAUCGGAAGGAACGCCGGUGGCGAAAGCGACACACUGGGUCUCAACUGACGCUGAGGCACGAAAGCCAGGGGAGCGAACGGG
rnacentral:rRNA from 1 species